rnacentral:rRNA from 1 species
AGAACGAACGCUGGCGGCAUGCCUAACACAUGCAAGUCGAACGAACCCUUCGGGGUUAGUGGCGCACGGGUGCGUAACGCGUGGGAACCUACCAUCAGGUUCGGAAUAACAGUUAGAAAUGACUGCUAAUACCGGAUAAUGUCUUCGGACCAAAGAUUUAUCGCCUUUUGAUGGGCCCGCGUUGGAUUAGCUAGUUGGUAAGGUAAAAGCUUACCAAGGCGACGAUCCAUAGCUGGUCUGAGAGGAUGAUCAGCCACACUGGGACUGAGACACGGCCCAGACUCCUACGGGAGCAGCAGUGGGGAAUAUUGGACAAUGGGCGAAAGCCUGAUCCAGCAAUGCCGCGUGAGUGAUGAAGGCCUUAGGGUUGUAAAGCUCUUUACUGGGGAUGAUAAUGACAGUACCAGAGAAUAAGCUCCGGCUAACUCCGUGCCAGCAGCCGC